UACAGAGGUCUCAAGCGUUGUUCGGAUUCAUUGGGCGUAAAGGGUGCGUAGGUGGCGAGGUUAGUCAGGUGUGAAAUCUCGGGGCUCAACCCCGAAACUGCACUUGAUACUGCCUUGCUAGAGUACUGGAGAGGAGAUUGGAAUUUACGGUGUAGCAGUGAAAUGCGUAGAUAUCGUAAGGAAGACCAGUGGCGAAGGCGAAUCUCUGGACAGUUACUGACACUGAGG
rnacentral:rRNA from 1 species